rnacentral:sRNA from 1 species
AUUAUUAUUAUUAUUAUUAUUAUUAUUAUUAUUAUUAUUAUUAUUAUUAUUAUUAUUUAUUAAAAAAAGUCGUAUGCAUAUAAUUAAGCUAUUAUUGUAAAGGUUGCACGCUGGCGGUAACCAUUUCGCAAAAGCAAACAACAUCGCAAACCGAGCUUUGCGUUUCUUCAGGAGUGGCCAAAUCCUUAACAGAUUACGUAAUUUAGCCUAAUAUCGUAUCCCUGUCACUGGGCUUUCUCCCGACCCACCCUGGCCUCCUUGUUUACUAUUGCAGGUUAUAUUUACCAAAAUUAUUAGCAUUAGUUAUUAACGGAGGCCUUCGUUUUUAACGAUGUUUUUAAUAUAAUAUUUACUAUAUAGCCAAUAAAGGUCCCUUAAUCUAACCUUUAUAACGCAGGAGGCCAACCAUUCGCGGGCGGCGAGAAAACAUAUAGCGAACCAGCCCAAAUAAGGCAUCCAAUACUAUAAAACGAACGGGACAAACAAAUGGUAGGUUAGAUAACAUGGACAGGAAACAGGCACACGUUCCGAUUCGCGAGCUUGCGAAUCACGAUAUAUAAUUACAAAAUUAUUAUAUAACGGGGCGUUACAUACAAAAUUAUUACUGUUUAUUUUAAUUGUAUAUUUUAUUGGCAAAUAGUAAGGUAUACGUGAAAAAAAUUUGAGCAAUCGGGAAUGGACCAAUUAACGUUAGUUAAUUGUUAUUAAUUGCAGUUUUAAAUUGUAAAAACUUGAAAAUAAUUUGCUGUUUUGCGUAUUAUAUUUUGGUGGGCCAUUUAUUUUACGUUGGGGGAGGAUGGUCAGCAAUAUAAAGAAAAUAUUGCAUAAACGAUACCGUACCGACCUCGGGCCUCGGACAACUUUCCCGUAUUACGCCCACCCACCCCGUUUCGACUUCUCCCUUCAACCACUCCCUUUCGACGAACAUCGUCGGCAAAUUUGUGGAUAAUACAAAAAUUCGAAUAUAUAUUUCCCCCGAUUUGGAUUAUUUUUCUCCCUUAUAACUCCUUAACCCAACAAAACAAAUUACUAUUUAUUAUUUAAUACAAUUAUUUAUUUUGGAAAACACGGUAAAACUUCUAAAUAAAGGCAAGCCUCCAAACUAUAACCCGGGAUUUGGUAUUUAUAAUAUAUUGCACUAAUAUUUACCUUCUCUCAUUUAAUAAAUGGCCGUUUCGAACGAAUAUCAAACUGGGCAACGCCUAUAUAUUCAAAUCGUCCACCGAAACAAAUAUGGUUAAAAUCUCCGAUUGUAACAGUACUUCAUACCCAAAUUCGACGAAUUAUAUACCUUCCAAAAAAUAAAAAACACCGGGUGACGCAAGUUUGUUUGUUUUACAAUAUGCAGGCCGGCAAUUGGGACCUGGAUUUAAAAGGCCUUUAAAGGGUUUAAUGGGUAUAAAACAAAAUUUCGUAUAUUUAAUAUAUAGAAUAACAGGAACUGCGGGAAAAAUCGGUCUGGUUAACAUAUUAUCGAAUAUAUAACAUUCGGUAUUUAAGAAUCCACCACGCUUAUUGCAAUAUAAAUAAUUACACAUUUAACAAAACAUAUUAACAUUCGUUUUUUACCGAAUUAAAAAAGACUCGAUUAAAUAAAUUUUACUAUUAGCGUAAAAACUUAAACACCUUUCCCUUAAUUGGCUCGAAUUCGAAUUUAAAAAUCCCUAAACUGGUAUUUUUCAGGGGAAGACUUUGAUAACCACAUACGAAAUUCGAACAGGGCUUUUAAAUUAUUAUCCGUUCGUACCACCUUAUCUUUUCUAUUAUACCACCCACGUAUCCGUUUAAUUCCGUUUAGCGUUACCUCCGGUACCGAAAAACUAUUAAAAUCGAUAUUAACCGGGACACCAUCCUCGGUUAUCGCAAUAUUGGUUGGGUUCAAAUCGUUAUAUACAAUAUUAAAAACGUGCAAAUAUCGGAUACCCGCCUCGAUCCCAGCGAGGCAAUUCUCGGCGGCCAAUUUCCUAACAGCCGCAAAAUCUUCCAUUUUUAUAAAUUCGGACUUGUUUAGGAAAUCCGGGUUAAAUUUACCCGCGAAAAUUUGCGGGUACCUGGUAAAAUAAAAACCCGUAACGAGCCUUUCGGACACCAGGCAUCCGUGGUACGUUGCUACAUUCGGGUGCGGGUGCUUUUUCAAAAUCUCGCAAACAUUUAGCUCCCGGAGGACGAGGGAUGCCAGGUCCACGUUACCGGCCGUUAUAAAAUCCGGCCGUUUAACGUAAAAAUCUCCCGGCGUUGGUAGGAUAAUGGCUAUAACGGGUGGUGCUGGGCGAUAUAAAAUUUUGCGAAUAAAGGUAAUAUUAUAUAAAAACGACCUGUUAAUUUCGGCAAAAACCGUCUACUAUGGGAAUUGGGCGAAAAAUAUAUCGUCCUCGUCGGCAAAAAAGACAUUACUGUGUAAAAAUACAACUUUCUUACCCACAAAAAAAUACGUUUGGUUAAUCUGCAAAAUUCUUAUUACCGCGGUAAGAAAAAGCGAUCCGAUUUUUUUAUAUUAUUUCGUAUUGGAAUUGAAAAUAAUAAAGAAUAUCGUCUAUUGGGGGAUCUUUUACCUUCUUGCGAGGCUCUCUUUAUUAAAACAUUAUAAAAAAUUCUGUUAAACGAUAUAUUAAUAUUUAACGACGGCUCCGAACAAUUUAAUUAAAACCAAGGCCAUUUGGUGGGAUACGGGUUUAUUAUAUAU